CACAAAUUUGGCCCGUUGCUGGUACACGGUAAAGCCACAAAUUUGCCCCAUCGCUGGUACACGGUAAAGCCACAAAUUUGGCCCGUCGCUGGUACACAGUAAAGCCACAAAUUUGGCCUGUCGCUGGUACACAGUAAAGCCACAAAUUUGGCCCGUCGCUGGUACACAGUAAAGCCACAAAUUUGGCCCGUCGCUGGUACACAGUAAAGCCACAAAUUUGGCCCGUCGCUGGUACACAGUAAAGCCACAAAUUUGGCCCGUCGCUGGUACACGGUAAAGCCACAAAUUUGGCCCAUCGCUGCUACCGGGUUAAAUGUCUCUAGCUCCCACUACGACCAUUUCCGGAGGCCACAGAGAUGGUCAGCCUGGCUCUCAUAGGUGUUCUUCCCAUUCAAGGUGCAGGGGUUGUGUAAAACUAUCACUAGGAUCACGAAACUCUCCAUGAAAGUCCCAGCAACUUCCAUUAGAGGC